rnacentral:rRNA from 1 species
CCUACGGGGGGCAGCAGUGGGGAAUAUUGCACAAUGGGGGAAACCCUGAUGCAGCGACGUCGCGUGAGUGAAGAAGUAUCUCGGUAUGUAAAGCUCUAUCAGCAGGGAAGUAGAAAGACGGUACCUGACUUAGAAGCCUCGGCUUACUACGUGCCAGCAGCCGCGGUAAUACGUAGGGGGCAAGCGUUAUCCGGAUUUACUGGGUGUAUAGGGAGCGUAGACGGCUGUGCAAGUCUGAAGUGAAAGCCCAGGGCUCAACCCUGGGAUUGCUGUUGAAACUGGGGAGGUAGAGUGCUGGAGAGGUAAGUGGAAUGCCUAGUGUAGCGGUGAAAUGCGUAGAUAUUAGGAAGAACACCAGUGGCGAAGGCAGCUUACUGGACAGUAACUGACGUUGAGGCUCGAAAGCGUGGGGAGCAAACAGGAUUAGAUACCCCGGUAGUC